GACGGGACCGCACAAGCGGUGGUAUGAUGUGGUUUAAUUCGAUGCAACGCGAAAACCUUACCACCUUUGACAUGUACGGAAGUUGCCAGAGAUGGCCUCGUGCUCGAAAGAGAGCCGUAACACAGGUGCUGCAUGGCUGUCGUCAGCUCGUGUCGUGAGAUGUUGGGUUAAGUCCCGCAACGAGCGCAACCCUUGUCAUUAGUUGCUACGAAAGGGCACUCUAAUGAGACUGCCGGUGACAAACCGGAGGAAGGUGGGGAUGACGUCAAGUCCGCAUGGCCCCUAUAGGUGGGGCUACACACGUCAUACAAUGGCUGGUACAAAGGGUUGCCAACCCGCGAGGGGGAGCCAAUCCCAUAAAGCCAGUCGUAGUCCGGAUCGCAGUCUGCAACUCGACUGCGUGAAGUCGGAAUCGCUAGUAAUCGUGGAUCAGCAUGUCACGGUGAAUACGUUCCCGGGUCUU
rnacentral:rRNA from 1 species